AAAUCAGACUGUUCCUACUUCAAGCCCAUACUUGCUAUAGCAGAAAACAAUUGUUACCUUAUGAAUGUUCUAAUGCCAGCUCAAUGAGAAUUUUUAUAGCAUUAAAUGUAACACCAUGCUAUGUUUCUCAUACAUCAGAAAUUGAUAAUGACCGUUCUAAUGUUGUUGUAAGUGAAAAAAGGGGAAAUACUCCAUGCAUCACUUCACCACAUGUUG
rnacentral:misc_RNA from 1 species